AGGGCUAUAGCUCAGCUUGGUAGAGCACCUCGUUUACAUCUGUUCAGGUCUACGGUUCGAGCCCGUAUAGCCCUA
rnacentral:tRNA from 1 species